rnacentral:piRNA from 1 species
UGAGAGUCCUUCCACUGAGUCACAUCCAAA